rnacentral:rRNA from 1 species
AACGAACGCUGGCGGCGUGCCUAAUACAUGCAAGUCGAGCGAAUCUUUUGGGAGCUUGCUCCCAAAAGAUUAGCGGCGGACGGGUGAGUAACACGUGGGCAACCUGCCUAUAAGACUGGGAUAACUUCGGGAAACCGGAGCUAAUACCGGAUACGUUCUUUUCUCGCAUGAGAGAAGAUGGAAAGACGGCUUCUAGCUGUCACUUAUAGAUGGGCCCGCGGCGCAUUAGCUAGUUGGUGGGGUAAUGGCUCACCAAGGCGACGAUGCGUAGCCGACCUGAGAGGGUGAUCGGCCACACUGGGACUGAGACACGGCCCAGACUCCUACGGGAGGCAGCAGUAGGGAAUCUUCCGCAAUGGACGAAAGUCUGACGGAGCAACGCCGCGUGAACGAAGAAGGCCUUCGGGUCGUAAAGUUCUGUUGUUAGGGAAGAACAAGUACCAGAGUAACUGCUGGUACCUUGACGGUACCUAACCAGAAAGCCACGGCUAACUACGUGCCAGCAGCCGCGGUAAUAC